AGCAGCCGCGGUAAUUCCAGCUCCAAUAGCGUAUAUUAAAGUUGUUGCAGUUAAAAAGCUCGUAGUUGAAUUUCGAGACCGGUUUAUUGGUCGUGCUUUUGUACGUACUGGUAUUAUUGGUUUCUCCUUUCUGACGAAUCUUAAUGCCAUUAAUUUGGUGUUUUGGGGAAUCAGGACUGUUACUUUGAAAAAAUUAGAGUGUUUAAAGCAGGCUCACGCUUGAAUACAUUAGCAUGGAAUAACGGAAUAGGACGUUUGAUUCUAUUUUGUUGGUUUCUAGGAUCGACGUAAUGAUUAAUAGGGAUAGUUGGGGGCAUUAGUAUUCAAUUGUCAGAGGUGAAAUUCUUGGAUUUAUUGAAGACUAACUACUGCGAAAGCAUUUGCCAAGGAUGUUUUCAUUAAUCAAGAACGAAAGUUAGGGGAUCGAAGACGAUCAGAUACCGUCGUAGU
rnacentral:rRNA from 1 species